AGCUUUGCUACAUAAAGUAGUCUGACGUGAUCUCCAUAUUCAUACAUAAUAUAUCGAUGUUAUGUGCACAUUGGAAGUUGUCGAAUAUCUCCUGAUCAUAGGUUUCUUGCAUAUACUCUCGAUACAUCUGGGGGAAACUGUUUUCGCUGGAACUGAAAGAUCUUUAGUCUAGGUUAUGUUUCUAAAGCUCCAUGCUUAAUCAUCCAGACUGUUUCCAAGUGACUGCUUUACACAUGGGAGACUGGAUGGCUGGAAGAGUUCAGAGAAGCUGGUGUUAUGUUACAUAUGAUCUUCAAGCUAAUGUUAUGUUUCUUGCAUGGUUUGUAUAUUUGUUGCAAAAACAUAGUACAGGAAAAAGAUCUAUGCUCAUGAAGAUGGCAAAAGGGAACUACAUGUGGAACAAGAACCACCAGCACUGACCAGUUGGGCCUCUGGAUAGUGGUAGUGAACAAAAAUUGCUUGCCCUAUAGAGUCAAUGUAUUCUACUACUAUCCCACUUGCUGAUUUUUAUGUUAUGAAAUUAUAGUUCAACCAUAGUAUGUGUUUACACUCCUGCUGUGAGAUUGUACUAUGUAAAUUAUGGGAGGACAAUAUAGGCCUUUAUAUGCAAAAAACUCCUUGUUGA